rnacentral:rRNA from 1 species
AACCCUUACCGUUAGUUACCACCAGGUUAAGCUGGGGACUCUAGCGGGACUGCCACCGUAAGGUGAGAGAAGUGGGGAUGACGUCAAAUCAGCACGGCCCUUAUGUCCAGGGCUACACACGUGUUACAAUGGCCGGUACAAAGGGCAGCUACUUCGCGAGAAGAUGCUAAUCUCGAAAGCCGGUCUCAGUUCGGAUCGAAGUCUGCAACCCGACUUCGUGAAGCUGGAUUCGCUAGUAAUCGCGCAUCAGCCAUGGCGCGGUCGAAUACGUUCCCGGGCCUU